UACGUAGGGUGCGAGCGUUAAUCGGAAUUACUGGGCGUAAAGGGCGCGUAGGCGGCCUAGCAAGUCACUUGUGAAAUCUCCGGGCUUAACUCGGAACUGCCAAGUGAAACUGCUGGGCUAGAGUGCAGAAGGGGCAAUCGGAAUUCUUGGUGUAGCGGUGAAAUGCGUAGAUAUCAAGAGGAACACCUGAGGUGAAGACGGGUUGCUGGGCUGACACUGACGCUGAGGCGCGAAAGCCAGGGGAGCAAACGGG
rnacentral:rRNA from 1 species